GACGAACGCUGGCGGCGCGCUUAACACAUGCAAGUCGAGCGAAGCGGCGGACGGGUGAGUAACACGUGAGUAACCUGCCUUAUACAUUGGGAUAGCCUCGGGAAACCGAGAUUAAUACCAAAUGGUCUAAGAUGGACUCUCGUCCCAUUAGCUAGUUGGUGAGGUAACGGCCCACCAAGGCGACGAGGGUUAACCGGCCUGAGAUGGUGAACGGCCACAUUGUAUCUGAGAAACGGUACAAACUCGACGGGAGGCAGCCGUAGGGAAUAUUGCACAAUGGAUGGAACUAUGAUGCAGCGACGCCGGGUGAGCGAAGAAGGCUUUCGAGUCGUAAAGUUCUUUUAUAUGGGAAGCGGUACCAUAAGAAAAAGCCCCGGCUAACUACGUGCCAGCAGCCGCGGUAAUAC
rnacentral:rRNA from 1 species